ACCGUGAUCGGCAAAUCAAUUCAUUUGCCACCCACAUAUAAAAUAAAGUUUCAAGGUUAUGAAAGAUUCUGCAUUCUCUCGCAACAGGAAUGCUGAGAAUUCUGCUACAGAGAGCUGAAGAAACAUUUCCUGCUGUGACAGAAAGGAUUAACUGUACAAAUUCAGAGAAGGUUUUAGUUGGUCCAUAUGGUGGGAUAUAUCCAGCAAGUCAUGAUGCAAACCAGGCCAUGAAUAUAAAAGCUGAGGAAGUCUCAGAUGCAGAAGAGGAAGCGGAUCCUGUGCAAAUAACAGUUCAGGAGAUAAAGGCUGAACCUGAGGGUAAUUUGAAUGAAUUUCAACCCGUACAUGGUGAGGAUCGACGAUAUUCCUGUGAUGAGUGUGGUGAAUCAUUCAGUCAGCAGCAGAUCUCUUCCUCGUGUGUCACCACACGUUGGCUGUCGCUCCAUCACCAGAACUGAUCCUGCUCCAUGGUCCUGGAAUGUGUUCCAUUUUGUGACUCUUCACCAUAUAAAUUAGUGGACAGCGCACGAAUGGAUAUGCAAGUUGCAGUUGCCCCCAGAAAAGUGUGAAGUUUCAGCCCAAAAUGAAGGAAGUGAUGGAGAUGACCCCACCCCCUUCCAACACAGGAGUCAGGAGGGGACAUGAUUGUCAUCAUGGUAAUGGAACAUGAUGGCAGUGGGAAUGCUGUAUCCAGAGAUGUUACAGAGACCCCUCUGUUGCAUGUCUUGCCCCCAGGAGGAAUUAUCAUUGCUGUUGCAAGUUUGGGAGCGUGUAUUAGUAACCAUUCUUGUUCUUCUUUAGGCAAGCAUCUUAGCAAUAAAGAUUUUAUGUUCGUUUUAUGCAGCUCUGUUAAUUUCUACCACGGUUCUCUUCAUAUUCAGUUUUUCUUUUAACAUCUGGACAAACAUUUCUCAUAAUCUUAGUCACUUUUCCACAUUUGAAUCAUUUACUGUUUGGCCACAUUAUCUGUUCUCAUACUGUAUGCUCUGCACAUUUCUUCAUUUCCAUAAAUGUUUAACAUUUUCUGAAUGCUUAUUGGUAUUUCAUCAGUUUUACUGUCAAACUGCUCUUGAUUCUCUGUAAUAAGUUUUUAUAUUCUCUUCUGGCAAAGAAACAAAACACUUCUCCAGUAAACACUACUGUUGGAAAAGAAUCUCAUUUGAAAUAGUAUUACAGUUCUUAUUAGUGACACCUCCCAUCUCUUAUCUCUGCUACUUGAAAGAAGAAAAAUGUUGUAACACCCCCUCCUAUGUGGCCAUGUCCUGUUGUCACUGUCUUCACCAGUCGCAGUCCUUGUUCUCCUUCAGUGGUGCUACUUUACACUUUGCCUCAGUAUCAUAAUGCAAAUGCUCAUUUCCUGAUGUAACAGUACAAAAUUAGAAAGUGCAGCACUGAAUGUUAGGACUGCAGUUUUCUGUAAUAUGGCACCAGACUCACAAAGUUGUGUCCCAGAAGUGUGCAGUCUUAAGAGAUGUCAAAGAGUGAAUACCUGAGCCUUUGGGACUGUUGGCUGUUCUUAGGCAGUCAGGUUUUGUGAUUUGCAAAGUUUAAUUUGUUUGUUGGCUGUGUUUGUUGUUUGCUUGCAUGGCAUACUCUCUGUUGUGCCCCAAACUUUAUGUACAAGUUGAUAUUUUUAUGUUAAUUAACACUUUGCGGACCGG